GCCGGUGUGGUGAAAUUGGUAGACACGCUGUCUUGAGGUGGCAGUGGCUAAUGCCGUGCCGGUUCAAAUCCGGCCACCGGUA
rnacentral:tRNA from 1 species